rnacentral:lncRNA from 1 species
CUGCAGGGUGCCCACGUCCCUGGGGCCUGUCUGGGUGGCACAGACACGACCCAGUGCUGCCCCCCGUGCCCCCCCAGGAGCUCUCCGGCUUCACCCUGGACCCGGUGGCGUUCGAGGACGGCAAAGGCAAAUGUCCCUACGACCCCACCAAGGGCCACACCGGCCUCAUCGUGGGUAGGUGACACUCCAGGGGGCACAGCGGGGGUGCCACCCGUGCCCCCCCAGCCCCCUUAAACGCGUCCCUCACAGAUGGGGAGCUCUACUCUGCCACCUUCAACAACUUCCUGGGCACGGAGCCCGUCAUCCUGCGCAACCUGGGCCCGCACUACUCCGUGAAGACCGAGUACCUGACCUCGUGGCUCAACGAGCCUCACUUCGUGGCGUCGGCCUUCGUGCCCGAGAGCGCGGGCAGCAGCGGCGACGACGACAAGGUGUACUUCUUCUUCAGCGAGCGCGCCGUCGAGUACGACUGCUACGCCGAGCAGGUGGUGGCACGGGUGGCACGGGUCUGCAAGGGGGACGUGGGCGGCGCGCGGACGCUGCAGAAGAAGUGGACGUCGUUCCUGAAGGCGCGCCUGGUGUGCUCGGCGCCCGAGCAGCAGCUGCACUUCAACCGCCUGCAGGCCGUGUUCACCCUGCCCGGUGCCCGCUGGCAGGACACCGCCUUCUUCGGCGUCUUCCAGGCCCGCUGGUGAGUGCCCGCCGUGCCCGGCUGCUCCCAGUGACCGUGCUGGCCCUGUCCUGGUGCCCAUGGUGGUCUUGUCCCAG